rnacentral:rRNA from 1 species
UGGAUCCAGACUUUGAUCAUGGCUCAGGAUGAACGCUAGCUACAGGCUUAACACAUGCAAGUCGAGGGGAAACGACAUCGAAAGCUUGCUUUUGAUGGGCGUCGACCGGCGCACGGGUGAGUAACGCGUAUCCAACCUGCCCACCACUUGGGGAUAACCUUGCGAAAGUAAGACUAAUACCCAAUGAUAUCCCACGAAGGCAUCCGAAUGGGAUUAAAGAUUUAUCGGUGAUGGAUGGGGAUGCGUCUGAUUAGCUUGUUGGCGGGGUAACGGCCCACCAAGGCUACGAUCAGUAGGGGUUCUGAGAGGAAGGUCCCCCACAUUGGAACUGAGACACGGUCCAAACUCCUACGGGAGGCAGCAGUGAGGAAUAUUGGUCAAUGGGCGAGAGCCUGAACCAGCCAAGUAGCGUGCAGGAUGACGGCCCUAUGGGUUGUAAACUGCUUUUAUAAGGGAAUAAAGUGAGUCUCGUGAGACUUUUUGCAUGUACCUUAUGAAUAAGGACCGGCUAAUUCCGUGCCAGCAGCCGCGGUAAUACGGAAGGUCCGGGCGUUAUCCGGAUUUAUUGGGUUUAAAGGGAGCGUAGGCCGGAGAUUAAGCGUGUUGUGAAAUGUAGUGGCUCAACCUCUGCACUGCAGCGCGAACUGGUCUUCUUGAGUACGCACAACGUGGGCGGAAUUCGUGGUGUAGCGGUGAAAUGCUUAGAUAUCACGAAGAACUCCGAUUGCGAAGGCAGCUCACGGGAGCGCAACUGACGCUGAAGCUCGAAAGUGCGGGUAUCGAACAGGAUUAGAUACCCUGGUAGUCCGCACGGUAAACGAUGGAUGCCCGCUGUUGGCCUGAAUAGGUCAGCGGCCAAGCGAAAGCAUUAAGCAUCCCACCUGGGGAGUACGCCGGCAACGGUGCAACUCAAAUGAAUUGACGGA